rnacentral:lncRNA from 1 species
GCAGGGGGAGGAGAGGACCGCUACUUUGAUUCUCUGAUUUUUUUGUGAGAAUUAAGAUGGAUGGCUUCUCGUGUAGAACUCAGUUUACAUAUAUUUUUUAUUUUAUAACUAGACCUAUGCUUUUAUCAGGUUUUCUUAUGAUGUGUUCAUAUUUUGUAGGAAGAGCAUCUUCAUAUCAGGAAGAAAAAUCAUCGGUGGAAGCUACUGACCAUGAGGAUUUACAUCAGUGACCUUCACUCGGGUUGUAAGUAGAUAUAAUGCAGUAAGGACUUCUAUUCUUGCGAGUCUGGUUAGAUGCACUUGUGAAUGGCUGCUAAGAAAAAAGGCCUCGGAGUGUAGAGAAGGUUUCUGAGAUAUGCAUGCCAAAUAUCUUGCUACUUUGGCAUUUUUGUAGGCAGAUCUGUAGAUAUAAAUAAAGUUGGUUCUAAUGUGAUACUCUCAAUUUCUUCCGGUGUAUGAUAUUAUGAAGGUUGGGGAAUUUAUAUUUACACGAGAUAAAUUAUGAUGUACUCAUGUUUCUUGAACUGAUGACCAUCACUACAUCAAGAUGGCUGGUGAAUAAAGCGUGUCAUGUGUUUCAUGAUGUGUUACCAUAUAUAUACUAUUUGCAGGAAUUUUAUAUGUUGAUUAGCAUACUCUCACUCUAAUGUAUACAUUGCAUGAGCUCCCAACAUCCAUAACAAUUUUUCUCAUUCAACAUAUUUAUAUAUUUAUCUGCCUGAUUAUGCUCAUUCAAGUGUUGUUGCCAUUUAGGCCAUUCCAUUUUUUUCUUGCAG